AGAGUGAGGGAAGGCAGUUGCGGAAGAGGUGGAAGCUUCUUCUGAGGAAAGUCCGGGCUCCCGAAAGACCAGACUUGCUGGGUAAUUCCCAGUGCGGGUGACCGUGAGGAUAGUGCCACAGAAACAUACCGCCAAUUUGUCAUUUGUCUUUUGUCAUUUGUCUAACAAAAGACUAAGGGUAGAGGACAAAGGACUGUAUUUGGUAAGGGUGCAAAGGUGCGGUAAGAGCGCACCAGCAGCAUCGAGAGGUGCUGGCUCGGUAAACCCCGGUUGGGUGCAAGGUCAGAGGAACUAUGGUUGGUCUUUUACCAGUUCCGCUUUUAGGAACCGCAUGAGGUGUCUGGUAACAGGCAUCCCAGAUAGAUAACUGCCCUCAAAGUUGGCAACAGCAAUGAGAACAGAACCCGGCUUAUGUCUGACUCUUUCC
rnacentral:RNase_P_RNA from 1 species